rnacentral:rRNA from 1 species
GUGCCAGAAGCCGCGGUAACACGAACCGUACGAACGUUAUUCGGAAUUACUGGGCUUAAAGGGUGCGUAGGCGGCGACGCAAGUUGGGUGUGAAAUCCCUCGGCUCAACCGAGGAAUUGCGCCCAAAACUGCGUUGCUCGAGGGAGACAGAGGUGAGCGGAACUUGCGGUGGAGCGGUGAAAUGCGUUGAUAUCGCAAGGAACACCAGUGGCGAAAGCGGCUCACUGGGUCUCUUCUGACGCUGAGGCACGAAAGCUAGGGGAGCGAACGGGAUUAGAUACCCCGGUAGUCCUAGCUGUAAACGAUGAGCACUGGGUCGGAGAACCCCCCAUAGUUUUCCGGCCGUAGCGAAAGUGUUAAGUGCUCCGCCUGGGGAGUAUGGUCGCAAGGCUGAAACUUAAAGGAAUUGACGG